UCCUGGCUCAGAACGAACGCUGGCGGCGCGUCUUAAGCAUGCAAGUCGAGCGGUAAGUUAGGUGCUUGCACCUAGCCUAGAGCGGCGGACUGGUGAGUAACACGUGGGUGACCUACCCAAAGGUUGGGGAUAGCCGUUAGAAAUAGCGGGUAAUACCGAAUGUGGUUGCGCGACUAUGGUCGUGUAAAGAAAGGGGCUACGGCCCCGCCUUUGGAUGGGCCCGCGUCCCAUUAGCUAGUUGGUGAGGUAACGGCCCACCAAGGCGAUGAUGGGUAGCCGGCCUGAGAGGGUGAACGGCCACACUGGGACUGAGAUACGGCCCAGACUCCUACGGGAGGCAGCAGCUAAGAAUAUUCCGCAAUGGACGAAAGUCUGACGGAGCGACGCCGCGUGGAUGACGAAGGCCGAAAGGUUGUAAAAUCCUUUUGUCAACGAAGAAUAAGCGUGGGAGGGAAUGCCCGCGUGAUGACGUUAGUUGGCGAAUAAGCCCCGGCUAAUUACGUGCCAGCAGCCGCGGUAACACGUAAGGGGCAAGCGUUGUUCGGAAUUAUUGGGCGUAAAGGGCGCGUAGGCGGUUUGGUAAGCCUGAUGUGAAAGCCUGGGGCUCAACCCCGGAACUGCAUUGGGAACUGCAAGACUUGAAUCAUGGAAGGGAAACUAGAAUUCCAGGUGUAGGGGUGAAAUCUGUAGAUAUCUGGAAGAAUACCGGUGGCGAAGGCGAGUUUCUGGCCAAUGAUUGACGCUGAGGCGCGAAAGUGCGGGGAGCAAACAGGAUUAGAUACCCUGGUAGUCCGCACCAUAAACGAUGUACACUAGGUGUUGGGUCGAGUGACUCAGUGCCGAAGCUAACGUGAUAAGUGUACCGCCUGGGGAGUAUGCUCGCAAGGGUGAAACUCAAAGGAAUUGACGGGGGCCC
rnacentral:rRNA from 1 species